rnacentral:rRNA from 1 species
GACGAACGCUGGCGGCGUGCUUAAUACAUGCAAGUCGAACGGUAAGGCUCUGCACUUGUGCCGUGCUCAAGUGCCGCACACGGGAGUAUAACGUGUGUAAACUGCCCUUUACUUUGGGGUAACUUCAGGGGACAGGAGUGAUUAUACCACAUAAGAUCCUUCAACAUAGUGUGGGUGGGUGAGUGUCGCCGGUUGGGUAUGGACUCGCGGCUUAUCAUCUUGUUGGUGGGGUAGUGGCUUAACAAGGCAUCGAGGGGUAGCCGGACUGAGAGGGUGACCGGGCACAUUGGGACUGAGAUACGGCCCAGACUCCUACGGGAGGCAGCAGUGGAGAAUAGUGCACAAUGGGCGGAAGCCUGAUGCAGCAACGCCGCGUGCGGGAUGACGGCCUUCGGGUUGUAAACCGCUUUCGCCUGUGAAGAAGCGUGAGUGACGGUAAUUGGUAAAGAAGCACCGGCUAACUACGUG